rnacentral:rRNA from 1 species
AUUGAACGCUGGCGGCAUGCCUUACACAUGCAAGUCGAACGGCAGCACGGGAGCAUCCUGGUGGCGAGUGGCGAACGGGUGAGUAAUAUAUCGGAACGUGCCCAGUCGUGGGGGAUAACGCAGCGAAAGCUGUGCUAAUACCGCAUACGAUCUACGGAUGAAAGCGGGGGAUCGCAAGACCUCGCGCGAUUGGAGCGGCCGAUAUCAGAUUAGCUAGUUGGUGAGGUAAAGGCUCACCAAGGCGACGAUCUGUAGCUGGUCUGAGAGGACGACCAGCCACACUGGAACUGAGACACGGUCCAGACUCCUACGGGAGGCAGCAGUGGGGAAUUUUGGACAAUGGGCGCAAGCCUGAUCCAGCAAUGCCGCGUGCAGGAUGAAGGCCUUCGGGUUGUAAACUGCUUUUGUACGGAACGAAACGGCGAGCUCUAAUACAGUUUGCUAAUGACGGUACCGUAAGAAUAAGCACCGGCUAACUACGUGCCAGCCGCCGCGGUAACAC